AUCGUGAUGGAUCUGCAUAGAUUUAACGUCCGGCGCCGUUGAUUUGCAGUAGGGACACUCAAACUUCGCGUGACCUCCUUUAUCUUUUCCAGUUCUGUCUAUCAGCCCAGCCUUCCCUCCGCCUCUGUUCGUCGUCGCUGCGUCCACCUUCCCCGCGAUCUCCUUCGCCGUAUGCUUCUUUGGCUUUGCCUUUCCGGUCAUUGUUUGCUGGUGAUCGAUGGAACAGCUGUUGACGAAUAUCUGGAAAGUGAGAACCCUAGGACGAGAAAACCCUAGCUAUUUGGGCAAUUGAUUG
rnacentral:misc_RNA from 1 species